rnacentral:rRNA from 1 species
CCCUUAGAUGUUCUGGGCCGCACGCGUGCUACACUGAUGGAGUCAUCAAGCUUUUCCUUGGCCGAAAGGUCCGGGUAAUCUUACGAAACUUCAUCGUGAUGGGGAUAGACGAUUGCAAUUUUUCGUCUUCAACGAGGAACUCCUUGUAAGCGUGAGUCAUCAUCUCGCGUUGAAUACGUCCCUGCCCUUUGUACACACCGCCCGUCGCUCCUACCGAUUGGAUGGUCCGGUGAGAACUCUGGACUGCGACUUUUUCAUGUGGUUUCGGCUGCAUGCGGUUGCGGGAAGCUGUUCGAACCUUAUCAUCUAGAGGAAGGAGAAGUCGUANCA